CAGUCGCCACGGGAAUACGUAGGGUGCGAGCGUUAAUCGGAAUUACUGGGCGUAAAGCGUGCGCAGGCGGUUGUGUAAGACAGGUGUGAAAUCCCCGGGCUUAACCUGGGAACUGCGCUUGUGACUGCACAGCUAGAGUAUGGCAGAGGGGGGUGGAAUUCCACGUGUAGCAGUGAAAUGCGUAGAGAUGUGGAGGAACACCGAUGGCGAAGGCAGCCCCCUGGGCCAAUACUGACGCUCAUGCACGAAAGCGUGGGGAGCAAACAGGAUUAGAUACCCCUGUAGUCCCUGUCUCUUAUAC
rnacentral:rRNA from 1 species